rnacentral:rRNA from 1 species
GACGAACGCUGGCGGCGUGCUUAACACAUGCAAGUCGAACGGAAAGGCCCUGCUUUUGUGGGGUGCUCGAGUGGCGAACGGGUGAGUAACACGUGAGUAACCUGCCCUUGACUUUGGGAUAACUUCAGGAAACUGGGGCUAAUACCGGAUAGGAGCUCCUGCUGCAUGGUGGGGGUUGGAAAGUUUCGGCGGUUGGGGAUGGACUCGCGGCUCAUCAGCUUGUGGGUGGGGUAGUGGCUUACCAAGGCUUUGACGGGUAGCCGGCCUGAGAGGGUGACCGGCCACAGUGGGACUUAGAUACGGCCCAGACUCCUACGGGAGGCAGCAGUGGGGAAUAUUGCACAAUGGGCGGAAGCCUGAUGCAGCAACGCCGCGUGCGGGAUGACGGCCUUCGGGUUGUAAACCGCUUUCGCCUGUGACGAAGCGUGAGUGACGGUAAUGGGUAAAGAAGCACCGGCUAACUACGUG